rnacentral:rRNA from 1 species
UACGUAGGUGGCAAGCGUUGUCCGGAUUUAUUGGGUUUAAAGGGUGCGUAGGUGGGCAGGUAAGUCAGUGGUGAAAUCUUCGAGCUUAACUCGGAAACUGCCAUUGAUACUAUCUGUCUUGAAUUAUCUGGAGGUAAGCGGAAUAUGUCAUGUAGCGGUGAAAUGCUUAGAUAUGACAUAGAACACCCAUUGCGAAGGCAGCUUACUACGGAUCGAUUGACACUGAGGCACGAAAGCGUGGGGAUCAAACAGG